rnacentral:rRNA from 1 species
CUUCUGUAGGGUGAACCUGCGGAGGGUUCA